UACGUAGGGUGCGAGCGUUAAUCGGAAUUACUGGGCGUAAAUCGUGCGCAGGCGGUUCGUUGUGUCGGCGGUGAAAGCCCCGGGCUUAACCUGGGAAUGGCCGUUGAAACUGGCGAACUGGAGUGUGGCAGAGGGGGGUGGAAUUCCGCGUGUAGCAGUGAAAUGCGUAGAGAUGCGGAGGAACACCGAUGGCGAAGGCAGCCCCCUGGGCUAACACUGACGCUCAGGCACGAAAGCGUGGGGAGCAAACAGG
rnacentral:rRNA from 1 species